GCCCAUGUAGCUCAGUGGUAGAGCACACCCUUGGUAAGGGUGAGGUCGUGAGUUCGAUCCCCACCAUGGGCU
rnacentral:tRNA from 1 species